UCCAGCUUUGUGCCUGAUCGCUGUCUCCACGGCCGCGUCCGGGGGCAGCUUUUAACCCGGGCUGGUCUUCGGGGAAGAGCAGCGUGUCCCCCGGACCCAGCGCGCCUCUGGGCCUCAGCGGCGAGAGGGCCCGGGGCGGGGGGCCUGCGGGUGUCGGGCGGCGCGUCGGGCAGCCCACGCGGGCGGGGCGGGCCCGCCGCUCGGGCCUGGGCGUCGGUCGCCGGUGGGGCCGGAGCCCGGCGCGGAGCCCCGCGCGGAGCCCCUGGCAGGACAGUGAGCAGAGCAGCACUCCCAUAUUGACGACUUACGAAUGCAGUGUGCUUAAGGUCCUGAGAGUCGAGGAGCUCUGAGGUGGAGACUGACACUCUACCUGACGCACUGCCAAAGUCCAAGCCACGGGACGUUAAGGAUAGUAGUUGACGGUGACGCUGAAGCUGCUGGUCCGUGGACCACACACUUUGAGCAGCAAGGAUGUGGAUCACUGGAUUGAAGGAGACCGUGCUCUGCGCCCUGCUCUCCACAGCAAACUGGGCUGCUUCUGAGUGAUCGCUUCCCUGUCCAGGCCUAUAAAAUAGCAGACUGGACUAGAAGAUCUCUAAGAUUCCUUUCAGAUCUAACAUGCUGUGAUUCUAGUCUGGUUACCCCUGUGACAGUUGAGUAAACUAUCCUUGCCCAGUGGCCAGUCUGGACUUGCACAUUUCUAAUAGUGGGGAAAUUACUGCAUGUAUAUAAGGCAUCCAUCCCGUUUCAUCUUGGAAUCUCUCAGUAAGGAACUUUUUCGUUUUGUUGAAAUACAUCUCUGCAGCUUCCAUACUUUUGGUCCUAGGUUAUCUGUUAGAAUUCAACAGAAAAGGAAAAUGCAAUCCUCAUUUAAAUAGGUGACUCUUAAAGUGUGAGAUGACGGUGUUUCUCCCUAGUUUCCCCAGACUGCAUUGUCCUUUACUCUUCCAUGAUGUUGUUCCAGAUCCCUCUCUUAAAUUUAGUCCUUCUGCAGUGUGGUGUAGUGGGGCUGUAGCUGGACUUUGAAGGGUGGGUGGGGCUUGCAAAACUGGGGAAAGCAUCCUGAGCAGCAGACGGUGGUGCAGAGAUGACACUGCAUUUGUCAGAUCCAGGAUUGUUUGAUUAAAGCAAGAAAUGGUAAGAUUUCUUACAGUGAGAUUGUAAGGUUACUUACAAUGAAAGACUUUGGGCAAAGCAGUAUUUUAGAGUGUGUGGUUGUCUUACUAUGGUGGGCAAUGUGGUUGGAAAUGGAGAAGCAGCAAGGCAGGGGGCCAGGUCUAUUUCAUCGAUCAGCAAAGAGGACUUAUGUUGAUGGUAACAGUAAUGCCUUAUAUUUAUGUGUGAGAUUUUACAGAUUACAGAAGGCAGUCUUUCUUGGGAGGUGGGCAGAGCAGCUGUGACCCCAUUUUGUAGAGGAGGCACCAAAGAGGGUAGAUGAUUUGCCUUAAUUUGCAAAGCUAUUGAGUGGCUGACCAAAGUGAAGACAGUGGUGAUGGAGGAGGAAGGAAGGAUGCGGGAGAAAUACCGAGGAAGAAGUGAUAAGUUGGGCCUGAUUGACCAGGAGGGUACAAAGGAAAAGAAGUGGUCAGGGAGGAGUCAGACUAGUUGGGAAAAUCGUAAGGCAGAAUUGCCAGCUGCUGUGGGUUGCACUCUGCCGGCUGUCCCAUUCGCUGGUGGCCGCCUGGAGUUACAGGUUGGGAGGGACCGCGGUGGAGGACUCCCUGGGUGUUCAGCCUGCCUACAGCCGGGGGUGCUGUGGGGGCUGGGGCUCUCUGUCCCACACCAAGGGCGUGGAAACUGGACCCUCAGUGUCCCCUGAGGAGGUGAGCGCUGAGCAGUUACCUGAUUCAAAUCUUAGGGUCCUUGCCAUCCUGGAGACACUGAAUUUGGUUUUAUAUAAUUUUUCUUUAGAGGUUCUGGCUAGUCCUGGUCGCCCUUGGCUGAUGGGCAGAUGGGCUGUCCAGUCUGACCUCCCCGCAUGCCUGCUUGUCUGAGGGCGUCACUGAAGCAGCGACUGGGCCCUUGUCCCUCCCAGAGCCUCACUGAAGCUCUUUUCCCAGAAGAUCUGCACUUCUCCUACGGCCUCGCGGUCUCCCUGUGCUCCUUUGACCCUGGAUGCGUGUGAACUUGAGUUUUAGUGUCGCUACCACCUUCCAGUCCCUGGCGCUGUCCCUGCAUUUGUGGUUUCUUAGGUGCCUCUGUGGGGACGACGGAGCGACAUGUGCGGGACUUCAUGUCCCUCACGGCGUCUCUGGGAAGCCUGUCAGAGCCAGCCUGUGCCCCAGAGCCUGGCGCGGUGCACGUCCAGGCUUCUGUUCAGCAUCGAGGGCUGUCUGUGCUCAGUGCUUAGGAGACUGCGAUGAGUAAAAUCUGUCUUCCCUGGAAGAAUUGAUGAUAAGUGAGACAACGUUUUAAAUAAACUGUGAUACUGCAGUGGAGAUAUUUCCAAAGAGCUACGGGAGGGCAGAGUGGGGAGUGACUAGCCCCAUGUGGAGACAUCAAAGGAAUCUUUGGGAAAGAGGUGAUAACUGAGUCGAGCCUUGAAGAUGAAGAGAGAAUGGACCUGGUGACGCUUGCAACAUUUGCAGAAGCCUAAGGGGGGUGGAUUCAGGUGGCUGGAAUAUAAGAGAACUUUGGGAUCAAAGGAGAGGCGAUUGAUGAGACUAGAUUCAUAAGGAGGCCAGGUUUUUAACGGCCUGUAGUUUAUGCUAAGAUUCAGUUUUGUGGGAGGGAAGCCACUGGAGGUUUUCAGGCAGGGAGGUGAUGUGAUUGUAUUUUGGGAAGCCAGUUGUGGAACUAGGCUGAAAGGGGAGAGUCUGGAUCAGGGACGCCAGGAAACUCUUGUAGUAACCUAGGCUUGGCUGGAGGCUGAGUUAAAGAUUAGGUCAGUGGGGGUGGGAAGGAGGGGGCGAGUCAGAGAGACUGCAGAGACAGAGUUAACCUGACGCAACGACUAGUUGUUGAGAACAGGAGACGGAGUUGUUGAGGAUGACUCGGUUUUCUAUUUUGGGUGGAUGGUGGUGCCAGUGGUAAAGGGGAAAUAUAGAAGAGGAAUGUUUUUUUCUCUUUUUUCUUUGGGGGGGUAAUUGGGUUUAUUUACUUUUGUAUUUGGAGGAGGGACUGGGGAUUGAACCUAGGACCUCCUGCAUGUUAAGCAUGCACUCUACCGCUGGAGCUAUACCCUUGCCUCUAGAAGAGGAGUGUUUCUGAGGGGGGAAGAUAGCACGUGUUUUGGAUCAUGUUGAAUUUGGGGGCUCUUUGGCACUUAGCAGACAGGUGGAAAUGUGGGUCUGGUUCAGAGGAGAGUCUGUGCUCUGGGGGUGGCAGGUGGAAGUGGUAGUCAGUGCUGUUGGAAUGGAUGAGCCCAGCCACGCUCAUCGAAGGCUGAGGAUGCCGGCAGAGAGGAGAGGGACUGGUGGGCAACGUGCGACAGAAUGUCGUCCAGGGGGCGACAGAGGAAGAAGUUGCAGGAGGAGAAUCAGCAGCCUGUGUUACUAUGGGAGGUCAGGCAGGAGGAGCUUGGAAGAUGCACCUUGAGACUGGGCAGUGAGGAGAGUGUGGUCACCGGGGCGCUUUUUAUGUCUU